CUUUUCUCACACUUGCUGUAAUAAUGGAGUUGUUCAUCAUCACUCUUCUGCAUCUUCUUAUGGAGAUUCAGUCAUAUAGUUUUCCUCAGGCAAAGUUGUCAGUGUCUUCUUCAGUUAUCAUGGACAUAGACACAGUACAGCUGGACUGUACUAACAUUGAGAAUCAGAAGAUGGACGAGUGUUACUUCAUAAUAGAUGGAAGAGGAAGUAAACAGAGCAGAUCAUGUCAACUAUCACUCACUGGAUCUGACAUCAUUACUUGGUCGGGAGGUCAGAGGUCAGCGGUCAUCAUAGCCUGCUACUACACUGUGAAUAUAUCACAAGAUACCAUAAAAUCUCCAUAUUCAGAUUCAGUUACAGUAACAAUCACAAGAAAAGUUCAGAGUUUUCCUCAGGCAAAGUUGUCAGUGUCUUCUUCAGUUAUCAUGGACAGAGACACAGUACAGCUGGACUGUAGUAACAGUGAAAAUUACAAGAUGAACGAGUGUUACUUCAUAGUAGAUGAUAGCAGAAGUAAACAGAGCAGAUCAUGUCAACUAUCACUCACUGGAACUGACAUCAGUAUUUGGUCAGGAGGUCAAAGGUCAUCUGUCAUCAUAACCUGCUUCUACACUGUGUAUAUAUCACAAGAUACCAUAACAUCUCCACGUUCAGAUCCAGUAACAGUAACAGUU